GCCAACCCAAACCCCGGACCCCGCCCCUACCUUCUUACACCACCCACCAUCGAUCUCCCAGUUUGCGCAGCCGACCCAUACACUCUCGCUCUCUGUCCACUCCGAGAAAGCGAGGGGGCGGGUUUACCUCGCCUCGCACACACGACCAGCGGCAGCGCGGAUUGCCUAACCGUUUGGAUGUUAUGCCGUUUAAACGUUCGAUGCUCCAACUGUAUGGAUUUUAAGGCGGACACACUGCCGUUCUCGAAGGGCGCCUCCCCUCCUUCGAUCACGUGAUCCUUGCCGUAAACGUCAUGGCCGCCCUGGGUCGCCUCCAACCGUCACGUACUCCUGCUCUCCUUGGAGCUUCCACCAUCAAAAGCCCAAGUUUCGCACCUCCGGAGAAAUCUCGGAUUCGGGCGGUCACGGACGGAGGUCUGGGGGGAGCUCAGGAGGAAGGAAGCUGUCUGGGCUGCAGGCUCCAGGUCAACGCUCGUGGCUCCCCAGGUGCUGGGCGCGGACUGACUGGCUGGUGGGCGGACCAGCGGGCGAGUACGUGGUCCACCCGUGUGUAGGUGGGACAAGCCAAGGCGCACGUGUCGUUAUCGCAGCCCGGAGGGAGAAACGCUCUUCAUUGAAGUGACAUGGAGGUUUAUGACAAAGUAAAAACAGCAUGUACGCUUGUAAGCGCGUAACAGUGCUUUGAAGAAGUCAAUUAACGUGAAUUUGUACGCUUACGCUACGUACAGUGCGCAUAGCAAACGAUUAUUUUCACAUUCGUAGCUGUAUAACGUAAUCGGUUUAACUGAUUACCUGCAACUACUCGCCGCCAAAUUCCCCGCAACGGCAGAAAAUAAAAAAAAUAAGAUUGUUGAAUCAAACCGUGAAACCAAAUCGCGAGCGGUGCGAAUCGUUACACGUCUAGCACAGUGUAAAGAAUGGUGAAGGGUGUAUCCACUUAUGCAACUGCUUGCUCGAGACAGCCCAUCUAGACGAUAUUUUUUUUUUAGGCCACUCAUCAAUGCCAAGCAGAAAUCUUAGAAGUGGGAGUACCCACACUAUAUCUCACCACACGCAGCCUGCCAAAUGACUAACUGAAGUGUGCCUGUUAUGCGGCAUACCUGUUACGUGGCGUACCUGUUUAUGUGGUGUUCCUGUUUAUGUGGUGUUCCUGUUUAUGUGGUGUUCCUGUUUAUGCCGUUGGGUGGACAGAGGCGGGGAGGGAAUUUAAUAAAAUCGCCCUGUUUCACCUGGCGGACAGGAGUGUACGGCCAUAAUUGAUGCAUAAAAAAGGUAAUUGUCACUUUGCUGUAACGAGCAAUAAGGCAGUGCUAAUUUCCACUGCUGACCCUUAAUCCAGCGGUGGAAAUUCCACAUUACAAUAGUGGAACCAGUCUGUCCAUAGGUUGACCACUUGACUUCGCACAAAGUGAUACUUACGUGCAUUCUGUAGUCAGUGGAGAGCCACAGCCUCAAUACAGAGAUGAAAGAAAGCCAGGGAGAUAAAUCAAGUCAAAUCCGGUUCAAUGUUUGCUCCACUUAAACAAAUAUCACUGGGCCAGAUUCAUCAAAAAGGCCCAAUUACCAAUGGAUUCAAUAUCAUCUCAUUUGUGCGGAGUAAACAAUCCCCUUGGUUGCUUGCAUGUUUGAUUGUUUAUUGUCAUUACUCAUAAGAAACUUCUAAUUACAGCGAUACGACUUUUUUUCCAUGCCCCUUUGAACAGUGCUUCGAAUUAUCCACGCAUAUCCACAGUUAAGUUGUAUUGCGCGGACAUGAAGGUAAAUUAUAGCUGUUAUCCACACCCAUGCUUAGGGCAUGUGUUCAGAAAAGACAAAAGAAGACGCAAUGAGAAGGCAAUGGCGAUUAGAGACCCAUCAACUCACAAAGAGACCAAUAGACUCCUACAGACACCUACAGUCUCACACAGAACCACAGAGACCAAAAAUCUAGAGAUGCCGUUGGUGCACAGCAGGAGUGGAGGGACACCCAGGGUGAGGUGGGAGGAUACAGUGGAACAAGAUACAAGGCCUGUGGACAUGACAAGAGGCGAGGCACAGAGUAGAAGCACACGGAGUAAAGAAAAUCCGAGCGGCCGACUCCAUGCACGAAUGAGACUUCUGGUUUACAAAAGAAGAGGAUCCACGCUCAUCUGUGGAGAAGCCAAGUGGUCUCCCUAAAGUCUCAAUUGCAUCCUAUUACACGUAGCUCUCCACGGAUACGUGACCUGAAAGUGAAGGCAAGUUUAUCCUGUUAUCCGCAUACGUCCGUCCAGAUAACUGCAUUAAGGAACUUGAACAAACGCAUAUAACAGGAUUGGCUGCUAGCAGGCCACAAAUCAUGCAGGAUUAGAGGGGGUUCCAUCGUAUUUAAAAAACAAGUAAUGUUUGACGGCGUCUGCCAACCACCGCCACGUAGAGCCCAGACCAAUUACCGAAAACAACAAAACAGGAAAUAAAUAAGUGGCGCGCAACCAAUUAACUGUUGCAUUAGUUUUUUUUUGCAAACGCUCGUGGGCACCACUGACGAAGGCCAGCGGCUAAGGGUUGCGUGUAAUUCCACGGGCACGGUCUAAUUUACGACGAGCGGAUUCGACUUUGAUCACUUUUGGCCAAUUGAUUUUUCAAAUUAACUGGGGAUUUAGAACAAUUUAUGCGUGUGUUGAGUGUACAUGUGUUGUGUGUACAUGGUAUGCUGCCAAAGGCAACGAAGGUCUGUGAUUUUAACUGAGCGGGUGGGGCACAGUAUGCACAGUAACAUCACCAUAUUGUAUGCUUUACUUUUGAGGAGCAAAUAACCUAUGACUUGAGCCUCCAGCAAAAUCUCCACCUUGGCCGUGUGGAUCUGACAACGAGGGGCCAAUACCUCACCGAGUCUUCAUGUGCACGCUGCGGAGCAGCCAGCACACCGGGUGUGGUGGCGGAUGCCUGCCGCUUGGGGCGAGCGGCGGCCAGGAGAUGGCAGUGCAUCAAGUGGAUCCACAGACACAGCAGUACGGAUCUUUUGGAUGUUGUGACCUUUCUCCGCGUACUUCCCGUUCCAUCGCACGUAAAAAGAGGCAACACGGCCAACCAUUUCAACACUAGACCCUCAUAAUACAGUAUUCAGACCCGGUGAAGCUUUGCUGGUAAAUAAAUCACAUGAUUGUUUGGA